rnacentral:rRNA from 1 species
GUAGGGAAUAUUGGGCAAUGGAGGCAACUCUGACCCAGCCAUGCCGCGUGAAGGAUGAAUGUCCUAUGGAUUGUAAACUUCUUUUGUUAGGGACGAAACCCCCGGAUUCAUCCGGGGCUGACGGUACCUAAAGAAUAAGCACCGGCUAACUCCGUGCCAGCAGCCGCGGUAAUACGGAGGGUGCAAGCGUUAUCCGGAUUCACUGGGUUUAAAGGGUGCGUAGGUGGAUUAGUAAGUCAGUGGUGAAAGCCCCGAGCUCAACUUGGGAAUUGCCAUUGAUACUGCUAGUCUUGAGUUCGGUUGAGGUAGGCGGAAUAAGUCAUGUAGCGGUGAAAUGCUUAGAUAUGACUUAGAACACCGAUUGCGAAGGCAGCUUACCAAGCCGACACUGACACUGAGGCACGAAAGCGUGGGGAUCAAACAGGAUUAGAUACCCCAGUAGUCC